rnacentral:rRNA from 1 species
GAUGAACGCUGGCGGCGUGCCUAAUACAUGCAAGUCGAGCGGACAGACGAGGAGCUUGCUGCUUUGUCGUUAGCGGCGGGCGGGAGAGUAACGCGUGUAUAACGUACCUAUAAGACGGGGAUAACCUCGGGAAACGGGCGCUAAUACCAGAGAAUAUCUUGAACCGCGGGGGGGGAUAGAAAGAUACGGCGGUGCGGGAUCGUCUAGCGGCAUCCGCGCUGGAUUGGCUAGUUGGUAAGGUAACGGCUUACCAAGGCGACGAUGCAUAGCCGAACUGAGAGGGUGAUCAGCCGCACUGGGACUGUGACAGGCUCCAGAGUCCUACGGGUGGGACCCAUAGGGAAUCUGGCGCAAGGGGCGAAAAACUGACGGAGCAGCGCCGAGUGAGUGAUGAAGGUCGUCGGAUCGGAAAACUCUGUUAUUAGGGUAGAACACGUGUGUAAGUGACUGUACACGUCUUGAAGGUAACUAAGCAGAGAGGCACGGCUAACUUCGUG